GAUGAACGCUGGCGGCGUGCCUAAUACAUGCAAGUCGAGCGAAUGGAUUAAGAGCUUGCUCUUAUGAAGUUAGCGGCGGACGGGUGAGUAACACGUGGGUAACCUGCCCAUAAGACUGGGAUAACUCCGGGAAACCGGGGCUAAUACCGGAUAACAUUUUGAACCGCAUGGUUCGAAAUUGAAAGGCGGCUUCGGCUGUCACUUAUGGAUGGACCCGCGUCGCAUUAGCUAGUUGGUGAGGUAACGGCUCACCAAGGCAACGAUGCGUAGCCGACCUGAGAGGGUGAUCGGCCACACUGGGACUGAGACACGGCCCAGACUCCUACGGGAGGUAGCAGUAGGGAAUCUUUCGCAAUGGACGAAAGUCUGACGGAGCAACGCCGCGUGAGUGAUGAAGGCUUUCGGGUCGUAAAACUCUGUUGUUAGGGAAGAACAAGUGCUAGUUGAAUAAGCUGGCACCUUGACGGUACCUAACCAGAAAGCCACGGCUAACUACGUGCCAGCAGCCGCAGUAA
rnacentral:rRNA from 1 species